rnacentral:rRNA from 1 species
AGAGUUUGAUCCUGGCUCAGAUUGAACGCUGGCGGCAUGCCCUACACAUGCAAGUCGAACGGCAGCACGGACUUCGGUCUGGUGGCGAGUGGCGAACGGGUGAGUAAUAUAUCGGAACGUACCCUGGAGUGGGGGAUAACGCAGCGAAAGUUGCGCUAAUACCGCAUACGAUCUACGGAUGAAAGUGGGGGCUCGCAAGACCUCAUGCUCGUGGAGCGGCCGAUAUCUGAUUAGCUAGUUGGUAGGGUAAAAGCCUACCAAGGCUUCGAUCAGUAGCUGGUCUGAGAGGACGACCAGCCACACUGGGACUGAGACACGGCCCAGACUCCUACGGGAGGCAGCAGUGGGGAAUUUUGGACAAUGGGGGCAACCCUGAUCCAGCAAUGCCGCGUGAGUGAAGAAGGCCUUCGGGUUGUAAAGCUCUUUUGUCAGGGAAGAAACGGUGAAGGCUA